UACGAAGGGGGCUAGCGUUGUUCGGAAUUACUGGGCGUAAAGCGCGCGCAGGCGGUCUUCCAAGUCAGUGGUGAAAGCCCGGAGCUCAACUCCGGAACUGCCAUUGAAACUGUUAGACUUGAGGAUGAGAGAGGUGAGUGGAAUUCCCAGUGUAGAGGUGAAAUUCGUAGAUAUUGGGAAGAACACCAGUGGCGAAGGCGGCUCACUGGCUCGUAUCUGACGCUCAGGCGCGAUAGCGUGGGGGAUCAAACAGG
rnacentral:rRNA from 1 species